AGAAUGUGUAGUUAUAGUUCGGCCUCUGGUUAGUAGAAAGGACUUGCACGACGAGAACCACGUUAAGGCCAUUCUCCAGUUACAUCGAAGCUGUUAUCCAUACGACAUAGGGCUGAUCUGUUGUUAGAUAACUACUCUUUAUGAAGUGACUGCGAGGACUGGACGGAUUUCAAGAAGUUUUAAAAACCAACUGUAGGCUGCACCACUACUUGUCCCCUGGCAGAAUCAACAUUCAACAUAGAUCCGGUUGUUGUUGUUGACACAAAGCUACUGGCAGUUGCCAAUCUAACCACCUGUGUCGAUAUACGACUCACCCAAGGACAUGGUGGAUCGACGGUGGCAAGUAGUUACUCGCCGAAUGUUCGGCUCGUUGCGUAACGGGAUUAUAUUAGUAACCGUGUUCAUUUCUGCCGUCGUGCUGUACGCCCAUGUGUUCGUCAUUCCACAACAAGUACUAAACACAGACGCCGCCGUGAAAAGAAGUCUUCUAAUCGACAGAGGAUCUCAAUUCAGGUGUGCGUUUGCAAGUAAAAACGUUACAACUCCAACAACAACUACCGUGCACGUAACCAACGCUAGCAAGUAUAACUGCUGACGUCCGAGAUGAACAAGAAAAGAAGUAUUUCAACGGUUCUGUUAUCAUAACAGAGGAACAGGAAGAGAGUGUUUUAAACGAAACUAAAAUUGUUUCGCGUGAACAAUUUAAGGAAACGAGCAAUGCGAACAAAAAGAAAGAAAGUCGUAUUGGAAAACAUGAAAGGCACAGGCCUUCCCACAUGGUCAUAAAAACAAAAACAAGAAGAAG